rnacentral:lncRNA from 1 species
AGAGGAACUGGCGUAGCGUCCUGGUAGACAUGCUGCAGCCCCGCCGUCCCCGGCUUCUCCGUGAGGUCCCCGGGACUCCUCGCCACCACCUGGCACUGGCCCCCGGCUGCCUGCUCCUGGAGUCGCGCGGGGCCCCCUCUCCGUCCCUGCCCAACCCGCGGAGGCUUACCUCACUCUCUCUUCGGGUUGCAUUCGCCAUAAGAGAGCCGGUAGACCCCUGAAAUCCCGGGACCGCCUCCCACGCAAAACUGUAUUGUGUACUUUACAAAAGCAUUGUCAACUUUAUCCAGAG